rnacentral:lncRNA from 1 species
GCCACCUCUCCUUCCUCUGCCCCAAGAUGACCGGGUGUGUAUUUUAGUUUUAUAGAAUCAGGCUAGUUCAUUUGGUCCAUUUUUAAUGGCUUUUCCCGCUGUACCUCCUUUCACUGUUGUCUUAGAUCGCUUCCUCUGCCUGAUUAUCUUGACCUCUGAUCAGGGGUCUUAACACCACAGGUGAUGGACAAUGGAAGGCCCGUUUCACUGACUGGGGCCUGACACUUUUGGCCCACCUUCCUCCCUUCUCUCUAGGUCCUUGCUCCCAUGCCAGAGUCUGUGUUUUUACCUUCCACCUCUUUCUCACCCUCCCUGGCACCCUGCCUCCCCUUUCACAGGUCUCAAAGACCAUGCAGAGCUGACUCUUGUUCUAUGACAGGUAUGGUUGCAAACUGGGGGUGCAGGGUCUCCCCUCAGCUCUAUGUGUGGGGCAAAGCCACGGGGCUAGAAUGGAAGGCCACAACUCCCCAGGAAUACCAGAGGCCGAAAAUAAUCCUAGGACACGCCUACCCCUAACUCUUCUCUCCUUCUCCAGGCUGCUUGGCUUCUCCAGGCUGCAGAAUCCUGGGAACUCCAUGGGAAAUCUGGCCUCCCAGGAGUUCUGCAUCUGGCCAGGGGGGCGGUCAGCCGUUUCUGAUAGGGCCUCUCCUCGGAAGAGCCCCUGCAGCAGUCAGAACACCUGGCUCCAACUGCAUCUCUACUGCUGCCCUGGCUGCCUCCAUGAACCUGGGCAGGUCACCGGCCCUCUUGGAGUCUCUAUCCUUAUGGUCCUUCCAGGACUGACAGUCUGUGGAUUAAAUGUGACCACAGCCUGCACUAUUUUAGAUUUCAGGGUUUUAUAGAGUUUUCUUCAAUCGGGUUGGCACCAAGCCACGUCCUAUGGAGGCCACUGGAGUGGUGUGCAGUAAAUGCAUCGGGCAGCAGGAGGAAUUGGUUCUACUGUCACAGAAACACUUCUAGGCCAGAGAAAUCAACCAAGGUACUUGGUUUGUACAUGGGUGCAUCUUCCUCCCCGAGGCCCCAGACUGGCACUGGAGCAGGCUGUUUCCUGUCCCCUCAUCAUCGCUGACACAUACGUGAGUGGUUUCCUUGGGGAGCCAGUCACCUGACCCGGGUUCCACCCUUGCCUCCCCUCUUGGCUCCUCCUGCCCCCUCAGCUACACCCCAGGCUGUGCCACUCACCUCCAGGCUUUGCUCACUCCCUUCUCUGUGCCUGGAACACCCUCCCCCAACUCUCCAUGGAAAUAUUCAAGGUUCUCUCAAGUCCCAUCUCUUCCAGGAAGCCUUCCAAGAUCUGCCAGCCCUCUCCUGAGCUCGGGCAGCCUCUCUCUGCCUACACUGGAGCCCACUGUUCUCCAUCAGGUCUGAUGUCCCCUCUCUUCCUGAUCCAGGCUGGGUGCACGGUGGCACCUCUGCAGGGCCGGCCUGGAUCACUGGUCUGCAGGCCCUCUCCUCAGAGGAAGAACGAGGUUCUCUGUCCCGCCCCCCACCCCCAGCUCCCUGUGAGGACAGGAUUUGGUUGUGCUCCUUCAAGAGAAGGUGUGACCACAUACCCCAGCCCUGGAAGUGGCCCUGCUUCGGGCCAGUCAGCAAGUUCUUUGUAAUGGAAAGGGCAGGUCGGGUUGAAAUGAGCCUGGACUUGCGCAUCAGCGGACUGGGUUCUAGUCCCAGCUCUGCCUCGGUGGCACCUAUGACCUAAGGCUGUGAAGUCACAUAAUCUCCCUGAGCCUCCAGGCUCUAUAAUCUCCAAAAUAUCGCCCCACAGGCACUGGUGACCGCUGACAGCACUGCACACUCAGCCUUGCAUACUGCCUGCACACAGUAACUGCUCAGGAAAGGCAUGUGGGGUGGAUGGAGGAGGGUCAGGAGUCCCCGCUUUCCCAGCGCCCUGAGCCUCCCUCCCUGCCCGCUCUGACUCCGGAACCAGCUGCGCUCACCCGCCUGUCCUGUCGGCACUGGCCAGCUCUCUGCACUCUCUUGAUUCUUGCAGAAACUUUCUCUUGUCGGACAGAACACACGCUUCCCAUCAGCUUUUAUUUCUGUGAGGGCUUGCUUACGAGCAGGGCAUUCUGUUCUUGGAAUUUCUUGUUAAAAUAUUUCAUUUAAUUAAGUUUUUACAACCAGCUCUGCUUUGUGUCUGUCAGAAGGUAGGGGCCGGGCAGCCCUCUCCUCAGCUCUCUGGGAGGCCAGGU